rnacentral:rRNA from 1 species
AGCGAACGCUGGCGGCGUGCCUAACACAUGCAAGUCGAACGUGAAAGGGAGCAAUCCCAAGUAAAGUGGCGUACGGGUGAGUAACACGUAGGUAAUCUACCCCAGAAUCUGGAAUAACCGGCCAAAAGGCUGGCUAAUACUGGAUAGAGCGACGGAAUCCGUAAUUGGGUUUUUCGGGAAAGGGAGCCUGUAAAAAGGCCUUCGUUCUGGGAUGAGCCUGCGUCCCAUCAGCUAGUUGGUGAGGUAAAAGCUUACCAAGGCAAUGACGGGUAGCUGGUCUGAGAGGACGAUCAGCCACACUGGAACUGAAACACGGUCCAGACUCCUACGGGAGGCAGCAGUGGGGAAUCUUGCGCAAUGGACGAAAGUCUGACGCAGCAACGCCGCGUGAGUGAAGAAGGCCUUCGGGUUGUAAAGCUCUGUCGAGUGGGACGAAAAUGCUUGGAGUUCACAGCUCCAGGAACUGACGGUACCACUAAAGGAAGCACCGGCUAACUCCGUG